rnacentral:rRNA from 1 species
AUUCCGGUUGAUCCUGCCGGAGGCCAUUGCUAUCGGGGUCCGAUUUAGCCAUGCUAGUCGCACGGGUUCAGACCCGUGGCGAAUAGCUCCGUAACACGUGGCCAAACUGCCCUACGGACCGGGACAACCUCGGGAAACUGAGGCUAAUCCCGGAUAGCGCUCUCCGCCUGGAGUGGUUUGAGCGUGAAACGCUCCAGCGCUCGCCAGACUUCGUCUGGCUGCGCAGCGGGACUUCGUCCCGCGAGCGCCGUAGGAUGUGGCUGCGGCCGAUUAGGUAGACGGUGGGGUAACGGCCUACCGUGCCGAUAAUCGGUACGGG